rnacentral:rRNA from 1 species
UUACGGUCACAUCAACGUUGAAACACCGGUUCCCAUACGAUCACCGAUGUUAAGCAAUGUCGAACCUGGUCAGUAACAAGAUGGGUGACCGCUUGGCAAUUA